rnacentral:rRNA from 1 species
UGGGGAAUAUUGGACAAUGGGCGAAAGCCCGAUCCAGCCAUGCCGCGUGUGUGAAGAAGGUCUUCGGAUUGUAAAGCACUUUAAGUUGGGAGGAAGGGCAUUAACCUAAUACGUUAGUGUUUUGACGUUACCGACAGAAUAAGCACCGGCUAACUCUGUGCCAGCAGCCGCGGUAAUACAGAGGGUGCAAGCGUUAAUCGGAAUUACUGGGCGUAAAGCGCGCGUAGGUGGUUUGUUAAGUUGGAUGUGAAAUCCCCGGGCUCAACCUGGGAACUGCAUUCAAAACUGACUGACUAGAGUAUGGUAGAGGGUGGUGGAAUUUCCUGUGUAGCGGUGAAAUGCGUAGAUAUAGGAAGGAACACCAGUGGCGAAGGCGACCACCUGGACUAAUACUGACACUGAGGUGCGAAAGCGUGGGGAGCAAACA